rnacentral:rRNA from 1 species
CACGUAGGCGGCUUCACAAGUCAGGGGUGAAAUGUCUCGGCUCAACCGAGGACCUGCCUUUGAAACUGUGGAGCUUGAGGCCGUGAGAGGAGACUGGAAUUCCUAGUGUAGCGGUGAAAUGCAUAGAUAUUAGGAAGAACACCAGUGGCGAAGGCGAGUCUCUGGCACGGUUCUGACGCUGAGGUGCGAAAGCCAGGGGAGCGAACG